AAUCAACGCUGGCGGCGUGCUUAACACAUGCAAGUCGAGCGGUAAGGCCCUUUCGGGGGUACACGAGCGGCGAACGGGUGAGUAACACGUGGGUGACCUGCCCUCAGCUCUGGGAUAAGCCUGGGAAACUGGGUCUAAUACCGGAUAUGACCCCAUGACGCAUGUCGUGGGGUGGAAAGCCUUGUGCGGCUGAGGAUGGGCCCGCGGCCUAUCAGCUUGUUGGUGGGGUGANGGCCUACCAAGGCGACGACGGGUAGCCGGCCUGAGAGGGCGACCGGCCACACUGGGACUGAGACACGGCCCAGACUCCUACGGGAGGCAGCAGUGGGGAAUCUUGCGCAAUGGGCGAAAGCCUGACGCAGCGACGCCGCGUGAGGGAUGAAGGUCUUCGGAUUUGGUAAACCCCUUUCGGGGAGGGAAGAGUGGGACGGGCACCGUUCGGACGGUACCUCCAGAAGCAGCCACGGCUAACUUCGUGCCAGCCG
rnacentral:rRNA from 1 species